GUCUUUUUCGUCUAGCGGUUAGGACAUUGCUUUUUCACAGCAAAAACGCGGGUUCAAUUCCCGUAAAGGAUU
rnacentral:tRNA from 1 species